rnacentral:miRNA from 1 species
UUUGAUUGUUGCUCAGAAUGCGU